CAGGUUAAGAAAAAGAGCAUUCCUAUUGCCAUGCGAGCCCCGAGUGAGCGUCUCCUGAUUCCAUUUCACCUCGCCUCCCAGAGACAAAGUCUUGCUCUGUCACCCAGGCUGGAGUGCAGUGGUGCAAGCUCAGCUCAUUGCAACCUUUGCUUCCCGGGUUCAAGCGAUUCUCCUGCCUCAGCCUUCCAAGUAGCUGGGAUUACAGGCGUGCACCACCAUUCCAGGCUAAUUUUUGUAUUUUCAGUAAAGACGGGGUUUUACCAUGUUGGCCAGGCUGGUCUCGAGCUCCUGACCUCAGGUGAUCUGCCC
rnacentral:lncRNA from 10 species